GACGAACGCUGGCGGUGUGCUUAACACAUGCAAGUCGAACGAAGAGCGCUGGAAGCUUGCUUCUAUCAAAAUUAGUGGCGAACGGGUGAGUAACGCGUACUCCACCUGCCCUUCAGAGGGGGACAACAGUUGGAAACGACUGCUCAUGCCGCAUACGAUCUGACCUCGGCAUCGAGGAUAGAUGAAAGGUGGCCUCUAUUUAUAAGCUAUCACUGAAGGAGGGGAUUGCGUCUGAUUAGCUAGUUGGAGGGGUAACGGCCCACUAAGGCGAUGCUCAGUAGCCGGUCAGAGAAGAGGAACUGCGACAGUGGGACUGGAACACGGCCCAGACUCCGACGGGAGGCAGCAGUGGGGAAUCUUCCGCAAUGGACGAAAGUCAUACUGGGCAACGCCGCGUGAGUGAUUACAGCCUUCGGGUUGGAAAGCACUGUUAAUCGGGACGAAAGGCCUUCUUGCGAAUAGUUAGAAGGAUUGACGGUACCGGAAGAGAGAGCCACGGCUAACUACGUG
rnacentral:rRNA from 1 species